GUAGGGCUGUUGAAUACACUGUUGGAUGGAGGUGGGGCUCCAUCCUCUGUGCUGCUGCCAUGUGCCUCUCCCCUCACCCACAUGGGGGCUUGGCCCUAAGUAGGACCCUGGGCUUGAAGGGCCCCCAACUAGUAGUGUUAGUGACUAUCAUUCACAAAUAGCCAAUAGCUAUUGAGUGCCUAUCAUGGGCCAGACACUGUCCUAGGCAGUGGGAACACAGCUGUGAACAGACAGACAAGAACCCUACUCUUAGUGAGUUUAUAUUUUAAGAAGAAGAGGCAGACAAGCAAAGAAAAUUCUAAAUAAACUAGAUCAUCUCAGAUAAUGAUGAGUGCUAUAAAGGCAACAAAACAGUAAUACAAUAGAGAGUACAGAUGGGGAGUGCCUUUGGUUGGGUGGUCAGAGAAAGACUUUCAGAAGAGGUAACAUUUGAUUCUAGAUCUUCCUGGUGAAAAGGAGCCCUGCCAAGAUUAGGAGAAGAGCAUCCCAACAAAGACAACAGGCCUGAGCCAGGCAGAGGCCAGAUGUUACAGGAAUGGAAAGACCAGCAUGGCUGGAGUGCAAAAAACACUAGGGGAGGUGGAGGGAGGUGGCAUGAGAAGAACCUGUAGAAAUGGAAAACAGCCAGACCAGGUAGAGGCCCUUGAAGCACGGCAAAGAGUUUAGAGUUUAUUCCCUGUAAAAAGGGAAACUCUUAGAAGUUUCUAAAGUUCUAACUAGAGACAGUCAUGCUAUGAUUCUAGAAAGCCACCAUGUAGAGAAUGGUUGGAUUAUAGGAAAGCAAGAGGAGAAAGAAGCAAGAAGACCAAUUCAAAGGCUGUCGAGGUAGUCCAGUGAGAGACCAUGAUGGUUUGGAUGUGGAUAUUAACGACGGAGAUGACAAUAAGUGGAAAAUACAAGGCUAUAGUUUGGGUGGAGUCAACAGAACCUGCCGAUGGACAGAUGUAGGGAGCAAGAGAGAGAAAGGAGUCAGAGUUGACUCCUCCGUUUCUGGUCUGAGAAAUUGCAUGAAUGGUGGAGCUGUUUACUUAGACAGGGAAGAUGGUGGGGACAGGUACAGCCGAUUUGGGCAACAGCAAGAAGAAAAUCAAGUGUUUUAUUUUGGAUAUCUUAAGUUUGAGGUGCUUACUAGACAUCCUGGUGGUCUGUCAAGUAGGCACCUGGACAAGACAUGCGCACAGGGAAGAGUCAGAGCUAAAGGAAAGGCCACGUGAGGCAAGAACGUGGCCAUCUACAACCCAAGGAGAGAAUCCUCAUCAGACACCAACCCUGUCGGCACCUUGAUCUUGGACUUCGCAGCCUCCAGAACUGUGAGAAACAACUCCCUGUUGUUUAAGUCACUCAGUCCCUGGUAUUUUGUUACGAGAGCCAGAGCUGACUAAGACAGAGACCAAAGCCUCCGGGGCACCAGUAGCUCCCACUGGGGAAAAUAUUACUGAUCGCUUUAAUAAUUAGCCCAGCCUGGAGCACUGUCUCCCAAGAGCUAAGAUGGUUCUCCAGGAAAAGGAGCAAGUUAGGCCUCCUAAGUGGGGAUCCUGGUAUGGUAGCAGAUGGGAUAUUUCCUUUUAAAGCUGAAUUGGGGGUGGGGGGUAAGAAGAAAACCAUAAAGAUCUGUUAUUACUAAUGUUGCCAUCAGUGACUUAGCCCCAGGAGGUGACCUGUCACAGGGUGGAGGACAAAGGCAAUGUUGCAGUGAUGCAGAGGUUAAAAAAAAAAAAAAAAAGGAAGGAGCAGGCCAGUCCA
rnacentral:lncRNA from 1 species